rnacentral:rRNA from 1 species
GACGAACGCUGGCGGCGUGCCUAAUACAUGCCAGUAGAACGCUGAAGAGAGGAGCUUGCUCUUCUUGGAUGAGUUGCGAACGGGUGAGUAACGCGUAGGUAACCUGCCUUGUAGCGGGGGAUAACUAUUGGAAACGAUAGCUAAUACCGCAUAACAAUGGAUGACACAUGUCAUUUAUUUGAAAGGGGCAAUUGCUCCACUACAAGAUGGACCUGCGUUGUAUUAGCUAGUAGGUGAGGUAAUGGCUCACCUAGGCGACGAUACAUAGCCGACCUGAGAGGGUGAUCGGCCACACUGGGACUGAGACACGGCCCAGACUCCUACGGGAGGCAGCAGUAGGGAAUCUUCGGCAAUGGGGGCAACCCUGACCGAGCAACGCCGCGUGAGUGAAGAAGGUUUUCGGAUCGUAAAGCUCUGUUGUAAGUCAAGAACGGGUGUGAGAGUGGAAAGUUCACACUGUGACGGUAGCUUACCAGAAAGGGACGGCUAACUACG